UAGGAUAACUCAUCAAUGUUGAGAGCACCUUGUGACCAGGGAGUGACUUGUGAAGCCUGCCAGUGGCAUUCCUAUCUUCUCUUACUUGUUUCAAGGCUGCCAGGUCCAACGAGAUGUCAGAUGGUGAAAGGACUGCUACACACGCCACCUUGCAAACACUAAGGGCUAGAUAUAACUAUCUGCUCAUUCCCUUUUGACUCUGGUAAUCCAUUUUGGUGUCUUAUUAUGCAUAGAUGCUAAAACUUCCUAAUCCUCCAUGCUGUACUUGAUAACUACUUUAUGUUUUGCUUUGUGUGUGUGUAUGUUUUUUUUAGGCACAAAUGAAUUAUUAUCACAGCAUCUGCAAGGGACCUGACUGGGGUGAUUAAGAGCUUCUAUCAGCACUGGAUAAAACAUGCCAAGCUGUAUUAUACCCUGAAAGAUGAGUUACCUAAAGUGUACAAAUAUCAAAAUCAUUGCCACCUAUUGAAAAUUUAUUCAGUAACAGAACAUUAUUCAAUACAGAAGUAUGUAAAAUUCCAGUCAAAGAUUCCCUUUGCAUAAAAUUCUAAGACCUGGCCUGACUCCAAGCAAUAAUUGUGAUGACAUCUGUGAUCCUUUAGGAAACGUCAUCCCUGCCCUGCCUAAAAGAUCAAUUGUGAGAAGAAAAGAGUCAUUUGUAAAGGACACAUCUGACACAGUUUAUCAUUAAUGGAUCAUUUGUUGGAUGACUUCUCAUACAAAUUUAUCAAAAAUUUCACUGAAGAUCUCCAGUUUUAUUUGAUGACAUAUUUUAUAUCUGGGUGUACCUAUUACAGACCUGGAGUGGGAUGGCAUCCAAGUUUGUCAUUUUUUCCUCUCCUUCAAUAUCAAUACAGAUCUGAAAGGGUCUCAGAAAACAAGAUCCACCAAAGAAAAUCAUCCCGGGAUAGAUGACCCACUGUGCCCUGAAGGAAACCUUUCUUCUGUGUGAGCCAGGCCAAAAAUAAACCCCACAAAUUAUCCUUCCA
rnacentral:lncRNA from 1 species